GUCCACGCUGUAAACGAUGUCAACUUGGAGUCUGUGCCAUUGAGCGUGGGCUCCGAAGCUAACGCGAUAAGUUGACCGCCUGGGGAGUACGGCCGCAAGGUUAAAACUCAAAUGAAUUGACGGGGGCCCGCACAAGCGGUGGAGCAUGUGGUUUAAUUCGAUGCAACGCGAAGAACCUUACCUGGCCUUGACAUGUCUGGAAUCCUGUAGAGAUACGGGAGUGCCUUCGGGAAUCAGAACACAGGUGCUGCAUGGCUGUCGU
rnacentral:rRNA from 1 species